UAGAUUUGAGUUAAAUUUUAAAUUGAGGGGGGAGGAUGGCAAAUUCUUUCUUAAUAUAUUUUAGGAAGCCUUUUUGUUUAUUGCAGCUAUGGCUCGGGAUUUAUUCUUUGGAACUUUGAGAAUAAUUUCUGCCCAACAGUAAGGGAUCUCCGAACCAAAUCAAUUAUCCCUUUACAACCACUCACUCAACUGCAUGCGAUCUGGCAUCUCCUGGCUGGCAUAGGCUCCUACUACCAUAUUCUCUACAGCUUUGAUCUGAGGAUGCGUUGUCGGGGCAAGCAUACAGCAGUAAAGUUGAUGUGGGACUGGUUGCCGUACAUCCACCUGACCAAUGCAAAGCUAAAAUCAGACAUGACUUUGGUCCACAAGAAGGGUGGAAUUUCAUCUUCGACGUCCUCCCUGUUCCAGCUGUUAUUUGCCGCUGACUAUAGUAACAAUAACACUAGAGGGCAGUAGGUUAAAAGGGACUAAGGAACAAGUUGACAGCGGUUAACUCUACAACCCGCAAUUUGAGAAAAGUAAGAAGUCAGCCUAAAUAAUGUCACAUUAGUUUUUACGGUUCUCUGGUCAUGGCCUUGAUGAAUUUAAAUAAAAAAAUCAAAGAAUUUCAAACAUUCGUGGAAAACUAGAACUCCGUGUGUAAACUAAACCUGCAACUUAUGAUGUAGUUCCCUCGACUCGGAUAGCAAAGGAAUCAAUCUGCACUAUACGCUAAACGCCAUUAAUAAAAGUAGGAUGGUAGUACUCACUCAUGUUAGGUAAGGAUCGAAAUGAAGUUGUGCAAAAAUGUGAUUAUAAUUUGCUUAACAAUUGGCUCUCCUUUUCGGGGUUUUGUUGUGAAACAAUGAGAGCCAAUAAUGUGUGACAUAUUUUAAUGUUUUCUAAAUAUUUAACAGUAGCAGUUUUUUUAUAAAGCAGCUAGGCUGAUCAAAAAAGAUCUAGUAUAUAAUAUUAUAAUUGGUAAAGCUGGGUUAUUGGUUUUAUCGAUACUGAGUUUUGUAAACAUAGGUAUUUAAUUAUAAUGCAGUAUCAUUGAUGUUUUUAGUUGACUAGAAGUCGGCGCUGAUAUGGGAAAGGCGUUUUUAGUACUAAAGAGCCUGUAUGUAUUUAUAGAAAAUAAUGAUCUAUUCAUGAAAACAUCAGGCGCUUAUUGUAACUGGCUUAAUAUGACUAAUAAUCAAGCGCUCGUACUUGAAAUGUUUUAAACGUCCGAUGAAUUACAACUGUAUUCUGAUGAUGUGUGGUAGUGUAUGAACUACAACUAAUUUUGUAACCAUGGGCACAUAAUCUCCACUUGGCGCGAGUCUUUGUUUUGCCACAUUUAUUCACGUCUGUGAACCCAAAAAUGCAGCAGUAUCGAUUUUUCGUGGCAAGAUACAGCUAUACAGGGCCGCUGUACUGUAAAAAAAGAUGUAUUGAUAUCCCCCUGGCCUAGAGAUGAAUCUUGGCCAAUAACUUCCCUGCCCUCAAAGGUGUGCGUCCAAGGAAAUUUAAGUUGUCAAUAUUUGAGUGUUAAGUGCUGUUUGUAUAUCUAAUUUUGUAACCAUAGGCACAUAAUUUUGAAUAAAAUGACAAUAGAAUUUA